rnacentral:misc_RNA from 1 species
GAUGAAGAACGCAGCGAAAUGCGAUAAGUAAUGUGAAUUGCAGAAUUCAGUGAAUCAUCGAAUCUUUGAACGCACAUUGCGCCCCCUGGUAUUCCGGGGGGCAUGCCUGUUCGAGCGUCAUUUCACCACUCAAGCCUCGCUUGGUAUUGGGCAACGCGGUCCGCCGCGUCCCUCAAAUCGACCGGCUGGGUCUUCUGUCCCCUAAGCGUUGUGGAAACUUUCGCUAAAGGGUGUUCGGGAGGCUACGCCGUAAAACAACCCCAUUUCUAAGGUUGACCUCGGAUCAGGUAGGGAUACCCGCUGAACUUAAGCAUAUCAAUAAGCGGAGGA